rnacentral:lncRNA from 1 species
CAUUUUACAUGUUUUUUUUGGUUGUUGUAAGGGUUGGACUUGCAUUUUCUGAAACCCUCUAGCCAAAGGUAUGAUCAAUUAAAUUCGCUGAAUGUGCUCCCAUACUGCACAUUGAUUACCACCAUUUCAGACUAAGUGGAUUUUUAGCAUAUAUUGAUGCAUUAUUUUGUGUAGGUUGUUGCUACACCGCAAAGGAGGAGGGGGUAUCAUAUAUGCAGUUUACUGUCAUGUGCUGGCAUUGUUAAACAACUCCACUUUCUGAGAUAAGUAUUUUAAACCUCAUCCUUCUUCAUUAUUUUAUAAACCUCAAUACUUCCGCGGAACUGCAGCAUAUACUUGAGGGAACAGCUUCUGACAGAUGGCCGGUCUGCAGUAUCCUAUGGCAGGUUAUACUAUUCCAGCCUGCAGUAUCCUAUGGCAGGUUAUACUAUUCCAGCCUGCAGCAAAAUAUACCCUAGCUCGGCUCUUCUCAUUGCCUCUCUCUCUCUCUCUCUCUCUCUCUCACUCAGACGCACACACUCACACCUGAACCCCCGCCCAUUCAGUCAUUAAACAGAAGCACAACACAGACACGCCAAAAUAGCUACCGUGUUUACAGCGUUUUUAACAGAUCUUAACUGUUUAUCGAUCUGACUUCAGCUCAGCAUCCCGCUCCGCUGCUGUCCCUGCUGCCCCAUCUGAAGAGGCGGAAGGAAGGCGCAACCCGACCAGGCACAUUCACAUCGAAGCACUACCUUCAACUUGCCCACUGACCAGCUCUUAUUUGCAGUGAAACAUGAGUGAUAAAGAUAAAAACACCGGUCCAUUGCAGUAGGGUGCUUUGCGCGCAGUCUAGGCUAUGGUGCAUGCCUUUCCGCGUAAAGGGCCAAAGAAGUUGUGAGUCCUGGGCGGGCAGUGAUUAUACCCCCGACAGUUUCUUGGUGCAGCGCUUUGUUGGGAAAUGCAACCGGGAUGAUAAAGAACAAGCGAGCCGGUGGCCAGACUCACCCUGUAAAUGAUUCACUAUGUGAUGCUAUCGCGCACGAGAUGUAGAUGUUGUGACGCUGCGCUCUCCGACAUUCAUAACCAAAAAUGUAUGUUUAAAAUGUUUCUUCUCUGUCAAAAGUGGAAAUGUUUUCUAUAUUUUUUUGUAAAUAUUUGUUUUAAA